rnacentral:rRNA from 1 species
GAUUAAGCCAUGCAUGUCUAAGUGCAUGCCGCAUCAAGGCGAAACCGCGAAUGGCUCAUUAAAUCAGUUAUGGUUCCUUAGAUCGUACCUCACCACUUGGACAACCGUGGUAAUUCCAGAGCUAAUACAUGCAGCAGAGCUCCGACCCUCCGGGGGACGAGCGCUUUUAUUAGACCAAGACCGACCGGGCCUCCCGGCCCGCCGUUCGUGGCGACUCUGUAUAACUUUGGGCCGAUCGCACGGGCUCGUCCCGGCGACGCAUCUUUCAAGUGUCUGCCUUAUCAACUGUCGACGGUAGGUUACGCGCCUACCGUGGUCGUAACGGGUAACGGGGAAUCAGGGUUCGAUUCCGGAGAGGGAGCCUGAGAAACGGCUACCACAUCCAAGGAAGGCAGCAGGCGCGCAAAUUACCCACUCCCGGCACGGGGAGGUAGUGACGAAAAAUAACGAUACGGGACUCAUUCGAGACCCCGUAAUCGGAAUGAGCGCGAUCCAAACCCUCGGGCGAGGACCUACUGGAGGGCAAGUCUAGUGCCAGCAGCCGCGGUAACUCUAGUUCCAGUAGCGUAUAUUAAAGUUGUUGCGGUUAAAAAGCUCGUAGUUGGAUCUCAGUCGCGGACGGGCGGUCCGCCUAACGGCGGCAGCCGCCCGGCCCGGACAGCCCGCCGGUUUCCCCCGAUGAUCUUCGCCGAUUGUCCCGGGUGACCGGCACGUUUACUUUGAAAAAAUUAGAGUGCUCAGGGCAGGCGUUCGUUGCCUGGAUAGUGGUGCAUGGAAUAAUGGAACAGGACCUCGGUCUUAUUCUGUUGGUCUCCGAGACGCGAGGUAAUGAUUGAGAGGGACGGACGGGGGCAUCCGUACCGCGACGCUAGAGGUGAAAUUCUUGGACCGUCGCGAGACGAACCGCUGCGAAAGCAUUUGCCAAGCACGUUCCCGUUAAUCAAGAACGAAAGUCAGAGGUUCGAAGGCGAUCAGAUACCGCCCUAGUUCUGACCAUAAACGAUGCCGACCGGCGAUCCGCCUGGGUUCCUCAAAUGACUCGGCGGGCAGCUUCCGGGAAACCAAAGUCUUUGGGUUCCGGGGGAAGUAUGGUUGCAAAGCUGAAACUUAAAGGAAUUGGCGGAAGGGCACCACCAGGAGUGGGGCUUGCGGCUUAAUUUGACUCAACACGGGGAAGCCUUCCCGGUCCGGACACCGGAAGGAUUGACAGAUUGAGAGCUCUUUCUUGAUUCGGUGGAAGGUGGUGCAUGGCCGUUCUUAGUUGGUGGAGCGAUUUGUCUGGUCAAUUCCGAUAACGAGCGAGACUCCAGCCUGCUAAAUAGGCGUCCCGGUCCCGUGAGCCGGGCGCUCUUCUUAGAGGGACAAGCGGCGUCCAGCCGCGCGAGACGGAGCAAUAACAGGUCUGUAAUGCCCUCAGAUGUCCGGGGCCGCACGCGUGCCACACUGAAGGAACCAGCGUGUGCUGGCCCUGUCCGCCAGGACCGGGUAACCCGCUGAACCUUCUUCGUGAUGGGGACCGACGUUUGGAAAGCGUCGCGAACGAGGAAUUCCUAGUAGGCGCGAGUCAUCAUCUCGCGUCGAUUACGUCCCUGGCCUUUGCACACACCGCCCGUCGUUACUUGCGAUUGAACGACCCAGUGAGAUCAUCGGAGCGGCGCGCGGAGCGGCUCUUCCGGGCCGCGCCGCCGUGCCGCGAAGACGACCGAACUGUAUCGUUUAGAGGAAGUAA